rnacentral:rRNA from 1 species
AUUGAACGCUGGCGGCAGGCCUAACACAUGCAAGUCGAGCGAGCGGCGGACGGGUGAGUAAUGUAUGGGGAAUGUCCGUGAGAGGGGGAUAACUACUGUAAACGGUAGCUAAAACCGCAUACUAUCGGAUAACCCAUAUGGGAUUAGCUAGUAGGUGAGGUAAUGGCUCACCUAGGCGACGAUCACUAGCUGGUCUGAGAGGAUGAUCAGCCACACUGUGACUGAGACACGGCCCAGACUCCUACGGAGGCAGCAGUGGGGAAUAUGGCACAAUGGGCGCAAGCCUGAUGCAGCCAUGCCGCGUGUAUGAAGAAGGCCUUCGGGUUGUAAAGUACUUUCAGUCGGGAGGCGUUACCGGCAGAAGAAGCACCGGCUAACUCCGUGCCAGCAGCCGCGGUAAUUC